GUGGGGAAUCUUGCGCAAUGGGCGAAAGCCUGACGCAGCCAUGCCGCGUGAAUGAUGAAGGUCUUAGGAUUGUAAAAUUCUUUCACCGGGGACGAUAAUGACGGUACCCGGAGAAGAAGCCCCGGCUAACUUCGUGCCAGCAGCCGCGGUAAUACGAAGGGGGCUAGCGUUGCUCGGAAUUACUGGGCGUAAAGGGCGCGUAGGCGGACAGUUUAGUCAGAGGUGAAAGCCCAGGGCUCAACCUUGGAAUUGCCUUUGAUACUGGCUGUCUUGAGUACGGGAGAGGUGAGUGGAACUCCGAGUGUAGAGGUGAAAUUCGUAGAUAUUCGGAAGAACACCAGUGGCGAAGGCGACUCACUGGCCCGUUACUGACGCUGAGUCGCGAAAGCGUGGGGAGCAAACAGGAUUAGAUACCCUGGUAGUCC
rnacentral:rRNA from 1 species